rnacentral:rRNA from 1 species
UACGGGGGGGAGCAAGCGUUGUUCGGAUUUACUGGGCGUAAAGAGCGCGCAGGCGGUCGAUUUAGUCGCGUGUGAAAGCCCCCCGGCUCAACUGGGGGAGGGUCACGCGAUACUGAUCGACUCGAAGGCAGGAGAGGGUAGUGGAAUUCCCGGUGUAGUGGUGAAAUGCGUAGAUAUCGGGAGGAACACCAGUGGCGAAGGCGACUACCUGGCCUGUUCUUGACGCUGAGGCGCGAAAGCUAGGGGAGCAAACGGG